AGCAUAGCGACAUUACCUUAAUAUUUUUUUUAUUUUUUAGAAUCACCGACAUCACAGCAGCCGAUGCCUUCGGCUGCGUUGAUCCAACAAUAUCACACGAGGGCCCGUAUAUUAGACCAUAUGAUCCAUCAGUUCCACCACCGAGGCACUUCAUUAGAAGGUUCUCGGUGGAUGGAACUCGAUAUAUAUGUUAUAUUUAAAAAGUAAAAAUAAAAAAUUAAAUUUA